AGUAUAACAUAGAAUUGAAAUAUUUUAUGUUUAAUUGAACAGUAUUAAUAUAAUGUUAUUCUCUUAUAUGAUACUAGUAUAUGAAAUAUAAUGUAGAAUUUAAAUAUUUUGUGUGUAAAUUGAACAGAAUUAAUAUAAUGUUGGUCGUACAGAAUUAAUAAAUAAUUUACAUGUAGUUUAUUAAUAAAUUAUGAAAAACAUUAAAGUUCAUAAAUAAUAAAUAAAUAAUAUAGAAAAUAUAUAAUAAUAUAUGGUACAAAGACUAAAAUAAUAGAAAUAAUAAAAUUUAUUAUUGAAGUGUUAACAUUAAUUUUGUUGCAAUUUCAUUUGUAUGCUUCUUCUUUUGGGAAUCCACAUAGAUCCGAGUCAAUUGUAGUACAAAUGAAGUAUUUGCAGUUACUUACAAAAUUCCACUGCUGAGAAAACAGGAGAGCAUGUAGAAUACUUAUCUCGAAUAAAUUUGCCUCUACUAUUUUUAUUUCUUAACAUGCAAUUGAACAAUUUUAAUGAAGCAUCUUCACGGAAAGUAAUAUUACGCAGAAUCGCGUAAAUAUUUUCUUUGUUUUAGGUCUUUUACU
rnacentral:misc_RNA from 1 species